ensembl:miRNA MIR208B microRNA 208b
CCUCUCAGGAAAGCUUUUUGCUCGAAUUAUGUUUCUCAUCCAAAUAUAAGACGAACAAAAGGUUUGUCUGAGGGCUG